rnacentral:lncRNA from 1 species
GAUGCUUCUUUACUCUGUCUUUGCCUUUAAACCACCAAGAUUCUAAAUAAAUUAUUUUUCGUGAAUAAAGACUCUUAAAUUGGCAUUUUCACAUUGUUGUUUGCCUUGGGUUACCCUUUUUAUCACUACAGCCGGGGCGCAUUGCCUCAUGCACGGAGGAUAAAUCGCAUUUCCAGGAAGACAAUGUGUGAGGGAGCAUCAUGGCCCUGAUCCAUUUUCUAAUUUUUCUUCAUUCUUUAAGUGUUUUUCUUCCUCGAUAUUCUCUUAGGACUUGGGGUAGAAUUUUCCUAACUUGACUUGUCUUCAAAACCUUUGUUUCUCUUGAUUCUUUAGCUUCCCUAACUUCCAUGAGGUGUGUUUCUUUGUUGAAUUACAUGAUUUAACCAUAAAAGACUCAAAACACCUAUGUAGUUAUCUGGUUAUGGAAGAAAUAAAAUUACAACGACUCAAAUCAAAAAAAAUUCAAAAACAAGAGCAACUCGAUCUAAAACCACUAUAGUGUCUUCAAAUGCAUAGAAACACUCGAAAACAAAGCUAAAAACAUCAUAUGCUCAGGCGUAGUCAUUAACCAUCUUAGUUAAACCCCGUACUUGAGAC